CAUGGCCCUGUUUUCCAGGUGAGCAAACUGAGGCUUAGAGGAAGAAACUGACUUGCCCCAAACUCUAAGAGCUAGUGUGGGAGUGUGGGAGUCCCUAUUUUGCCUUCUGGAAAGUACCAUAAUAGUGACCCAAAGACCAAGAAGAGAUGAGCAUGGCAUUUUGGUUUUUUAGUUAUUUGCAAUUUGUUAUGAUAUCGAUGUCUUUCUUAAUUUGCCUCUGCGAUGGCCUUAAUUACAAUGAGGGAAAGAGGAUUAUAACUUUAGAAAUAAAGACAAUUUCUUUACUAUGAAAUCGACAGCAAGGAUCUUAAAAAAAUUAACAGUACAGUCAAAAAAGAAACUUUCUUAUUGCAAAAAACUAGAAAAUAAUAACUAAAAGAUUCGUGCUUGCUCAGCUUUUUAUCAAUGCAUAAAAGCAGAUAUGACCAAAUUAGAAAGUUUUUUCAGGAAACUCGUGGAGGAAGGAAGGUGAGUUUAUGACUAGUGUUUAUCUAGUAUACAGUAAAUGCUGGGAAAGCCCUCUGCUAGGUAACUAACGUGCAUUUGACUCAUCCCACCUUCUCAGCAAACUCAUUCUCUCCUUUCUUAGUAAUGGAACUUCUGAUUUUUAGCUAGACAUGUGGCCUCAAAGAAUAAAGUUUUUUUUGUUUGUUUGUUUUUGUUUUUGUAGCUUUCUUGAUAGCUAGGUUUGGCCUAUGACUGAAUGCUGACUGGCAGAAUCUGAACAGAGGGAGUGCCUGCACUUUUAGGAAGGAUGUAACCUAAAAGGGAAGUGUGCCCUUCUUUGCCUCUUCCUCCUUCCAAACGAAUGGGAACAGCUGUACUAGAGCUACAGCAGCUAUUUGGGACUAUAACGUGGAAGAAAUGCAGCCGGAAUGACAGAAUAAAAAUACAGAAAUCCUGGAUACUUGAUGAUUAUGGAGCUGCCUUGCCUAUUCUGGACUAUACAUCUCAGAGAUUAUGAGAGAGAGAAAUAUAUUUCUUGUAUUAAGCUACUAUUACUCUGUGUUUUCUGCCAUUCUAGUUGACUUGAAUCCUGACAUAGGAGAUACUGCCAUCCUCAUUUUACAGAUGAAAAGAAUUUGAGUCUUCUGUUUCCACAACCAGAGUGAACAAUAUCCAUAAAGAGAAUAAUUAUCCAUCCUUGAAGAUGUUUAAUUCACCCAACUCCCAAAGCUGAUAGAGUUGAAGUGCCAAAAAAAAAAAAAAGUUUCUUUUGAGUUUCACUUGCUGGCGCCAUGCUGUGUGCCCACAGAUAUGGAAGCAUGGACUCUUUCCUAAGGGUUGUCCUGGAGAGACUUCAAAUCACUGUGGGUUUUUAGUCAGGCUUCAAUGGGCAACAAAUCUCUACGUAUACUCUGGAAAAUUACUUAACACACAGACCUGUUUAUUCUUUAAAAUGGGGAUGAUAGUAACAGGGUCCUUGGGAGGACAGAGGCUGCAUAGUGCUUGACUCACUAAAUGACCAACAUGUGGU
rnacentral:lncRNA from 1 species